rnacentral:rRNA from 1 species
AGUCUCCUCAUUUGUUUAGCACAAACGCAAACUCCGGCCGUUCCCCACCCACCAUCUCGUCGAAAACCUAGAAAUUCGGAGUGAGAUUGUGUUCGUCCGUUUACUUUCGUUUCUUCGAGAUCCGUGAGGAGCGGGAGAGACAGAUCCGUCGCUUGCUACCUGUUCAAGGUCUGUGACGAGGAGGAGCAGAUUCGGCGCGUGCCUCCGAGGUUCUUCCUGGAACUAAUUUGAUGUGCUAUGGAAUCCAAGGGUGGUAAAAAGUCCAGCAGUAGUCGUUCCUCCCUCAUGUACGAAGCUCCCCUCGGCUACAGCAUUGAGGACGUCCGCCCUGCAGGCGGCAUUGAGAAGUUCCGCUCCGCUGCCUACUCAAACUGCUCGAGGAAGCCAUCCUGAUAAUCCCUCUCGCGUCCCAUCCUAAUUGCUUAGAAUUCCCUCCCUUUUCAAUUCAUCUUCCUAAAAUUUCUCUGGCUAGCUGCUUUUCUCUGACCAGCAAAGCCUUUUCUCCCUCUACCAACCUUCUGAAACAAUGGCCGGCUCUGCGAUUGGGUUCGAGGGAUAUGAGAAGCGCCUGGAGAUCACUUUCUCUGAAGCGCCAGUCUUCACUGACCCCAAUGGCAGGGGAUUGCGUGCUCUCUCUCGUGCCCAGAUCGACUCGGUCCUUGAUCUUGCCAAGUGCACCAUUGUAUCUGAGCUCUCCAAUGAGAAGUUUGACUCGUAUGUCCUUUCUGAAUCAAGCCUCUUUGUGUAUCCGUACAAGGUUGUGAUCAAGACCUGCGGUACCACCAAGCUCCUGCUGGCCAUUCCAAGGGUUCUUGAGCUUGCUGAGGAGCUGUCCCUGCCACUUGCUGCUGUGAAGUACUCCCGUGGGACGUUCAUAUUCCCUGAAGCACAGCCUUCUCCACACAAGAACUUCUCUGACGAGGUUGCCUUCCUGAAUGGCUACUUUGGUGGACUCAAGUCUGGCGGCAAUGCCUAUGUCAUUGGUGAUCCUGCAAAGCCAGGCCAGAAGUGGCAUGUCUACUAUGCCACCCAGCAGCCUGAGCAGCCUGUGGUUAACCUUGAGAUGUGCAUGACUGGUCUGGACAAGAAGAAAGCUUCUGUCUUCUUCAAGACCUCUGCUGAUGGCCACACAUCUUGCGCCAAGGAGAUGACCAAGCUCUCUGGCAUCUCUGACAUAAUCCCAGAGAUGGAGAUCUGCGACUUUGAUUUCGAGCCAUGUGGCUACUCCAUGAACGCCAUCCAUGGCUCUGCUUUCUCCACCAUUCAUGUCACCCCCGAGGACGGCUUCAGCUAUGCUAGCUAUGAGGUCAUGGGGUUGGACCCUGCCUCCGUGGCCUAUGGUGACCUGGUCGAGAGGGUGCUGAGAUCCUUUGGCCCGUCUGAAUUCUCUGUUGCUGUGACCAUCUUUGGCGGCCCCAGCCUUGCUGGCACCUGGGGCGAGAGGCUGAAUGUUGGGGUCUAUGAUAGUACCAACAUGGUCGUCCAGGAGCUGCCUGGCGGGGGCUCGCUCAUCUACCAGAGCUUCACUGCUGUCGGUGAAGACUCCACUGGGUCGCCAAGAUCUGUCCUGAAUUGCUAUGUUGAUGGCAAUUUAGAGAGCGGCUCCAAGAUGGAUGCUUUCCUUUGCUGGGAAGACGAUGCUGCGCAGGAGAAGGAUGAGAGGGGGGCUGGUAAGAAGAUGAAGAGCUCUUGAUGGUGAUGCUAGCUGGUUUGAAUGAGCUUGUGUUGCGUCAGUUUGUUCUUAGAUUUCCUGUUCCUGCCCUAUUACUUUGUUAUGGACAAGUGACGUGAAAUGGUUAGCGUUUUCUGCCAGGGUGAGCGAAUGUAUGGAAAUGCCUGUAUCUGGCUGCAGGUUUAUGAAUAUAAGAAUACGCCUUGUGUUGAGCAAAUGUUAUUUUGUUAUUUCCUGAAAGUUUUGUUAGAAGUCAUUCUUGUUUGUCGUGGACCUAUUGAAUUCUGUGGCGAAUCUGAUUCAAUUCUGAUGGUUCCGAGGUUCGGGUACUAGUACCGCUUGUGGUGAUUAUUCGGUAAGAAUCUAUCUCUUGGAGUUGUCGAUGCUCGAUAAGAAAGAUAUGCACGCAAAGAAUUUGCACUUGGGCGGCGUCCCCUCGAACCACACCUUAUAUGUGGAGGCCACCGAAUACACCCGUUUGGUGGUGACAUUGCAAGUAAUAGCAUCAGUCAAGUUCGUAUAACUGCUGGAUAUUGGUUGAUGGAGCCCGUUCGACAUGUCGAUCCUAGCAAUCCAAGCAAGGUCCCCGAGAGCAUCACGCACCGUUGAAUUCUUCCUUUUUGAGAUGAGGAAUAUGGCGGAAGCGAUAUCCUUCGGCUUCCACCCAUUGAGCCAAGGUGAGUGCCAAAACAUGGCCAUGCAGGUGAUGGGGGUGGCUGCAUAUAUGAAAUCCAUGCGAGUGUUAUUGCAAGACUUGCCCAAAUUAACCAAAGCUCUGGCAUAUUUUGAGGAUGUUGAGAACCCCCAAGCCAUCAAGUCUUUUUGGUCUGCGCCCAAAGAAAGGCCCUCUCGAUCUUCUCAAAACAGGGUACUAGGGUCGUCCUUGAAGGUCUCUUGA